rnacentral:lncRNA from 1 species
UUUUCUUGUCCCUCCACUUUUGGCUUCAGACUUAGCUUUUUUUUUUUUUUUUUAAAUCCACUUUUUGGUGUCAGCUCAACUAAAUUGACAAUUAUCCCAGAAAGGGUGAGGCUAAUUGUCCUAAUUAAUACAAGAGGGCCCAGGUGGGGAUUGUUGGAGCUCAAGACCAGUCAGGUGGUGUGGGCAAAAAGCCCUCCAACGGUUGAGACAUGCUGUAUCAUAAUGGAGAAGCUGGUAAUACUGAAGUCUGUAAUGCUCUUGUGGGAACUAGGGGGCUUGAUACAUCCCUUGCAUCCUGCAUUUACUCUGACCACAGUCCCUCCCUGUUCUCACGAGUGGAGCUCUGCCCUGCUUCCCUUCCUGUUGAUUCCCAGUCAGCUACAUGAUAAUUCGAGCCAUGGGAGAUGAUACCAUUCAACAGAAGCAGUGAGGCUGUGAAGAUCAAAGCAUUAUGAACCUUGAAAAGAAUUGGGAGAAGCUUAUAUGCUACAGUAACUUGUGAAGGGUAUAAGCGAAGACCUCGAUCUGUAUUCCAAGAGAUGUUCAGAGAAUAUCAGCUUCAGAGCUGCUUCGCAAAAAAACUGCGUCUUCAGAGGAAGAAUUGUUUGGGCAAGGCCUCGUGAAAGCUGCAUGCUGUCACUGUUCCUGUUCCUUGGGAACAUAAACAGGAUCUAGGGACAGCUUGUGCAAGAAAACAGUUGGAAUAGGGAAUAUCAUGGUUUUCAGCAGCCAACUUGAUUACCAUCAUCAUCCCCGCGUAGGAGGAAAGCUUCAAGAGGUAUUUAGAAGGAUGCUGGGACCCACCUGGCUAUAGCACAACCAUUGGCUGAACUGCACUUUGGGAGUCCAGGGCAGGUCUUAAGUGCAGUUAUAAAGAGACUAACUCUUCAGUGGGUUGAGAAGUUCAGUUACUAAUGUGCUUUCACAGCUGGGCUUCUCAAGUACUCCUUGCUUAUUCUGUUAGCAGUAGGAAUAAGUGAGAGGGGUGGGCUAUGGUAAUAAGGGAUCCAAUGCCUUUAACAGUUAAAAGGGGCCUUGUGGUGGAGUUGCAUGCAGCACCUAUUUUGGAGGGACCACUAGGGUUGAUUAUGCAUCACAGCUUUUGUUUGAGUGUCUCUAAUUUUCUGAAACCUGGAUUUCAGGGAGCAUUGGUCUUAG